GCAAGUCGUACUGUCCGUUCUGCGUCAACGUGAAGAAGCUGCUGGGUCAAGUUGGUGCCAACUUCAAGGCCGUCGAGCUGGAUGUCGAAAGUGAUGGAAGUGAGAUUCAGGCAGCUCUUGCUGAGUUGACUGG